AGGGUAGGGUAGGGUAGGUUUAUGCCAAAAGGAAACCUGGUAAUUGUUUAAGAUGAAGAAUGUAUAUGAAAAGGAAGCAAGUAUAUGAGAGGAAGGAGCUAGUCAAUGAUGAUAGCAAGUGGGUUGAAUCAUUGUUUAAUUGAAAUUUUUUGCAAAAACAAUUUAUUAAAAAGUUAAUCAAUGCGCUAGAGCGGUUCUCUAAUCCCACUGAAAAAGAAAAAUAGCAAAGAAACCAGUGAUGAAUCAAUUAUGCAGAACAGAUGAAAUACGUCGAGUUUAAUUUAAAAUAGUUUAGCAACAGGAAAAAGAAUAUGAUAGAUGGAUGGAAAUGAAGACGAAUGAAUUUUUAAAAAAUUGAAGAGAAAAGAAAAAUAAUUUUAGGUGUAAUCGGACUACUGA